rnacentral:tmRNA from 1 species
GGGGCUGUAAGGGUUUUGACGGGAAGUGUAGUAGUAAGGGUUGCGAGCCGAGGGCGCUAACCUCCCCUCGUAAAACACGUGUUAGCAAAACACAAAUGCAGAUUCUUAUGAAUCUCUGCAAGCUCGUGUUGACUGGAGCUUCGGCGAGAAAAUCGUCGCUGCUCUCGGUUUAGCACAGCCUGCACUUGCUCUUUCUUAAUUUAAGAGCACACUAGCUGUUUUUUACCGAUAGAGACAGGAACUAGUGUUAUUUUAUCGGUUGCUUAAUUAGCCUUUUCUGUUUGGCUGAUUACUAAGACUUACAUCAGAUAGCGCGGGAAUUGCCCUGCUUCGGGUUAAGUCCCGGGCGAAUUUUAAAAUGAAGCUACGCUCGUAGUAACCGUUGCACUGCCUUUUCGGACGCGGGUUCGACUCCCGCCAGCUCCACCA